ACCGUGUCUUAAGGAUCUGUCCACUGCGGAACUCAAGAAUUUUAUAAAACAAAACCUUAUAAAACGCUUUAUAAUAGACAUUGUUUUCAUUCUUAAGAAAAUAAUGAUAAGUGUUUGAAUGAAAACUUUGUUUUAAGAAAUUGAAAAUAAUAUAAUAUCCAAAAUUAUUUCUUUUGCAGCAGUAAAUGCGACGGUUUUAGAUUUGGGAAAAAUGAUGUCUCUUAAAACUAAUAGAAAUCCUUUAGAUUUCGUCAACUACGGAAAUUGGUGCGGACUUGGAGGGAGUGGAAUUCCACUGGAUCACAUUGACAGGUAAGGGUAAUUACGGAUGUGGACCAGCGGCAUGUAGAUGUGAUGCCAGAAUAGCAAAUUGUGCAGAAAUCUAUGCAGAUUCAUAUGACUCAUCUUUGAGAGGCACCAGACCGCCCUUUUACAAUGCAGUAAACAGUGUGCUCAGAAACUUUAAUAGAAACAUAAACAGAAGAACUAGCGGAACUCAUUUUACAAUAAAGAUAGGCUAAAUAUAUUUAGCAAUACAAAUUGAAAAUCAAGCCAAUAAAAGGAAACAAGCAAAUGCACAAAUCAAAACAUGCCAGUGAUAAUCUGUUUCCUGAAUAAUUGCCAAAUUAUACAAAAAUUGUUAUCCUUUCCUUUUGUAAAGAAAUUGUAAAUAUUUUAUUAAAAACAAAUAGUUGGAAUGAAAACUAGUGUAAAUGACUUUUUCAGCAAAAUACCAUACCCUCCUGUUUCAGAAAAUAUUUCUCCAGUGGGAACAAAGGCAAAUGUAUUUGCAAAUAAUUUUAGCAUUAUGAUCUAUGAAAUGUCGUGUUAAGUUCUGUUAAAAUUUUUAAAAAAAGUCUAGCCGUUUCUGCUUUAAUUCGCUACAAUUAAAAGAAUAUUUUGCAAAGGACCUCAAAAAAUAUGUAAAAUUUUUGUCACAAAAUUUAAAGAAAAAUGACACAAUUAACACAAGUAUACAUUUCAAAUAUAGAAGCUUAAUAUAAUUUUUUUUUAAUAAUACUAGUUGAAUAUGACAGACAAAUUUUUAUUUAUAGUAGAAUUUAAAAAACCCCUUUGAAAGUAGAAUGAAGCAACUGUUUCUGUUUAUUCUGGGUGGCGACGAACAUUCAGAAAAAAAUUGCCCGAUUUUUGAAAUAUAACAAAUUUUAUUAUAAAUUUUUCGGUUUUACUUUGUUCUUAUAGAUAAUAUAUAUAAGGGAGCACUCCAGAAGCAUAAAACCUCCAGCAAGCUGAAUGAUGCAGAAGUUUAUAACAGCAUCUGCAGAUUCUAUUUCAUUUAAGUGGCUAUUAUUUUUAAAAGCAAAUAAAUAUUUGUUUGUUUGCUUUUA